GGUAAUACGGAGGGUGCAAGCGUUAAUCGGAAUUACUGGGCGUAAAGCGCACGCAGGCGGUUGAUUAAGUCAGAUGUGAAAUCCCCGAGCUUAACUUGGGAACUGCAUUUGAAACUGGUCAGCUAGAGUCUUGUAGAGGGGGGUAGAAUUCCAGGUGUAGCGGUGAAAUGCGUAGAGAUCUGGAGGAAUACCGGUGGCGAAGGCGGCCCCCUGGACAAAGACUGACGCUCAGGUGCGAAAGCGUGGGGAGCAAACAGGAUUA
rnacentral:rRNA from 1 species